rnacentral:rRNA from 1 species
UACGGAGGGGCUAGCGUUGUUCGGAAUUACUGGGCGUAAAGCGCACGUAGGCGGACUGUUAAGUCGGGGGUGAAAUCCUGGGGCUCAACCUCAGAAUUGCCUCCGAUACUGGCAGUCUCGAGUGCGGGAGAGGUGGAGUGGAAUUCCCAGUGUAGAGGUGAAAUUCGUAGAUAUUGGGAAGAACACCAGUGGCGAAGGCGGCUCAC